rnacentral:rRNA from 1 species
UGGGGAAUAUUGCACAAUGGGCGCAAGCCUGAUGCAGCCAUGCCGCGUGUGUGAAGAAGGCCUUCGGGUUGUAAAGCACUUUCAGCGAGGAGGAAGGUGGUGAGCUUAAUACGCUCAUCAAUUGACGUUACUCGCAGAAGAAGCACCGGCUAACUCCGUGCCAGCAGCCGCGGUAAUACGGAGGGUGCAGGCGUUAAUCGGAAUUACUGGGCGUAAAGCGCACGCAGGCGGUUUGUUAAGUCAGAUGUGAAAUCCCCGGGCUCAACCUGGGAACUGCAUUUGAAACUGGCAAGCUAGAGUCUCGUAGAGGGGGGUAGAAUUCCAGGUGUAGCGGUGAAAUGCGUAGAGAUCUGGAGGAAUACCGGUGGCGAAGGCGGCCCCCUGGACGAAGACUGACGCUCAGGUGCGAAAGCGUGGGGCAGCAAACAGGAUUAGAUACCCUGGUAGUCCACGCUGUAAACGAUGUCGAUUUUGGAGGUUGUGCCCUUGAGGCGUGGCUUCCGGAGCUAACGCGUUAAAUCGACCGCCUGGGGAGUACGGCCGCAAGGUUAAAACUCAAAGGAAUUGACGGGGUC